rnacentral:rRNA from 1 species
GGACGAACGCUGGCGGCGUGCUUAACACAUGCAAGUCGAACGGAAAGGCCCUGCUUUUGUGGGGUGCUCGAGUGGCGAACGGGUGAGUAACACGUGAGUAACCUGCCCUUGACUUUGGGAUAACUUCAGGAAACUGGGGCUAAUACCGGAUAGGAGCUCCUGCUGCAUGGUGGGGGUUGGAAAGUUUCGGCGGUUGGGGAUGGACUCGCGGCUUAUCAGCUUGUUGGUGGGGUAGUGGCUUACCAAGGCUUUGACGGAUAGCCGGCCUGAGAGGGUGAACGGCCACAUUGGGACUGAGAUACGGCCCAGACUCCUACGGGAGGCAGCAGUGGGGAAUAUUGCACAAUGGGCGGAAGCCUGAUGCAGCAACGCCGCGUGCGGGAUGACGGCCUUCGGGUUGUAAACCGCUUUAGCCUGUGACGAAGCGUGAGUGACGGUAAUGGGUAAAGAAGCACCGGCUAACUACGUG